GACGAACGCUGGCGGCGUGCUUAACACAUGCAAGUCGAACGGUGAAGCGCCUUCCUUUUUGGUUGGUGUGGAUGAGUGGCGAAGGGUUGAGUAACACGUUAGUAACCUGCCCCCUUCUUCUGGAUAACCGCAUGAAAGUUUGUCUAAUACGGGAUAUUCUGGUUCUGUCGCAUGAUGGGUCUGGGACAGAUAUUGUUUCGGUGGGGGAUGGGCUCGCGGCCUAUCAGCUUGUUGGGGCGGUGAUGGCCUACCAAGGCUGUGAGGGGUAGCCGGCCUGGGAGGGUGGACGGCCAGAGUGGGAGUGAGACACGGCUCGGACUCCUACGGGAGGCAGCAGUGGGGAAUAGGGCACAAUGGGAGGAAGGCUGAUGCAGCGACGCCGCGUGAGGGAUGGAGGCCUUCGGGUUGUGAACCUCUUUCGCCAGUGAAGCAGGCCUGCCUAGUUUGUGGGUGGGUUGACGGUAGCUGGAUAAGAAGCGCCGGCUAACUACGUG
rnacentral:rRNA from 1 species